CUCCUACGGGAGGCAGCAGUGGGGAAUAUUGCACAAUGGGCGAAAGCCUGAUGCAGCGACGCCGCGUGAGGGAUGACGGCCUUCGGGUUGUAAACCUCUUUCAGCAGGGAAGAAGCGAAAGUGACGGUACCUGCAGAARAAGCGCCGGCUAACUACGUGCCAGCAGCCGCGGUAAUACGUAGGGYGCAAGCGUUGUCCGGAAUUAUUGGGCGUAAAGAGCUCGUAGGCGGYUUGUCACGUCGGUUGUGAAAGCCCGGGGCUUAACCCCGGGUCUGCAGUCGAUACGGGCAGGCUAGAGUUCGGUAGGGGAGAUCGGAAUUCCUGGUGUAGCGGUGAAAUGCGCAGAUAUCAGGAGGAACACCGGUGGCGAAGGCGGAUCUCUGGGCCGAUACUGACGCUGAGGAGCGAAAGCGUGGGGAGCGAACAGGAUUAGAUACCCUGGUA
rnacentral:rRNA from 1 species